rnacentral:tRNA from 1 species
GGCGCGCUGGUUCGUGGGGCGCGCGGGGCUGCCGCCCCGGCCGGGGGCUGGGGUUGGCGCUGGUUGGGCGCCGGCAGGCGCCGC